GGAAGUGGCUUUGAAGCGGCAAGAAUUAGAAGCAGUUUUGGUGUCAGACACACUCACUCCUUCUUGUUUUUUCUUCUCUUUUUCCUUUU
rnacentral:pre_miRNA from 13 species